rnacentral:rRNA from 1 species
AAGUACGAACGGUAACAGGAAGCAGCUUGCUGCUUCGCUGACGAGUGGCGGACGGGUGAGUAAUGUCUGGGAAACUGCCUGAUGGAGGGGGAUAACUACUGGAAACGGUGGCUAAUACCGCAUAACGUCGCAAGACCAAAGAGGGGGACCUUCGGGCCUCUUGCCAUCAGAUGUGCCCAGAUGGGAUUAGCUAGUUGGUGAGGUAACGGCUCACCAAGGCGACGAUCCCUAGCUGGUCUGAGAGGAUGACCAGCCACACUGGAACUGAGACACGGUCCAGACUCCUACGGGAGGCAGCAGUGGGGAAUAUUGCACAAUGGGCGCAAGCCUGAUGCAGCCAUGCCGCGUGUAUGAAGAAGGCCUUCGGGUUGUAAAGUACUUUCAGC